UGACUUUUCCUCAUUUCUUCCUAUUUGGCUCAAUAUAUCUCUACCGAAUUUGUUUUAUCGUCCCUUGUCUCCAAAAUUCCAAAACUCAGGUGAAACUUCAAAUAAAGCUUUUAUUUCUUCCUUUCAGUGCUUGGAUAUAAUGUUCUUUGUUGUUGGUGCUAUAUAUGUUGCUUCCAUUCGAGAAGAUUGCUCGAAGAUUCUCCAUUUUCUCCAUCCAAAGGCUUCGCAACUUGGUUCCUUCUAGGUCAAGGGAAGAUUUCCGAUUCUUCGUGAAACUAUUUUAUGUUGAAUAUGAGCAUAUGUUACUUUGAUGAAAGUUGCAUGAUUUUUAUAUCUCGUGCUUAUAUAUUUUUGCAGUUUGAGUUUUGAAAGAC